ACUCACUACUGAGAUACUAUCUCUGAUUAGUGACAACUUGGUGAGCUUCUUUAAUGAUAAAAUUACAACAAUUAGAGAUAAAAUUCAUCACCUUUUGCCUGGAA